UGGGCCUGUAGAAGAUGGCUGGGACC
rnacentral:piRNA from 1 species